rnacentral:rRNA from 2 species
GAUGAACGCUGGCGGCGCGCCUAACACAUGCAAGUCGAACGGUUAAAGCACCUUUUAGGUGUGUAUAAAGUGGCGAACGGCUGAGUAACACGUGGGCAACCUGCCCUCCUCUUGGGGAUAGCCUCGGGAAACCGAGGAUAAUACCCGAUACUUCAAUGUGGCCGCAUGACGACAUUGAGAAAGCUUUUGCGGAGAAGGAUGGGCCCGCGGCCUGUUAGCUUGUUGGUGGGGUAGAGGCCUACCAAGGCAAUGAUGGGUAGCUGGGUUGAGAGACCGACCAGCCAGAUUGGGACUGAGACACGGCCCAGACUCCUACGGGAGGCAGCAGUGGGGAAUCUUGCACAAUGGGCGAAAGCCUGAUGCAGCGACGCCGCGUGCGGGACGAAGGCCUUCGGGUUGUAAACCGCUUUCAGCAGGGACGAGGCGAAAGUGACGGUACCUGCAGAAGAAGCC